rnacentral:rRNA from 1 species
UACGUAGGUCCCGAGCGUUAUCCGGAUUUACUGGGUGUAAAGGGAGCGUAGACGGCGGCGCAAGCCAGAUGUGAAAGCCCGGGGCUCAACCCCGGGACUGCAUUUGGAACUGUGCUGCUAGAGUGUCGGAGAGGCAGGCGGAAUUCCUAGUGUAGCGGUGAAAUGCGUAGAUAUUAGGAGGAACACCAGUGGCGAAGGCGGCCUGCUGGACGAUGACUGACGUUGAGGCUCGAAAGCGUGGGGAGCAAACAGG